AAGUCGUAACAAGGUUUCCGUAGGUGAACCUGCGGAAGGAUCAUUCAAGUAAUUAUGGGUGUGGGGAAGAGAUUUGGCGCAAGCCGAAGCUUUUUCCUACUACUUUAACAUUGGAUAAACCGACUGAACUCUGCUGUAGGCAACUAUGGCAGCAGUACCAAAUAUUAAACAAUUUGUUGUACCGAGUUUCCCAUCAAAAUAGUUGAAUUAAAAUACAACCUUUAACAAUGGAUCUCUUGGUUCCU
rnacentral:misc_RNA from 1 species